rnacentral:rRNA from 1 species
UACGAAGGGUGCAAGCGUUACUCGGAAUUACUGGGCGUAAAGCGUGCGUAGGUGGUGAGUUAAGUCUGUCGUGAAAGCCCCGGGCUCAACCUGGGAAUGGCGAUGGAUACUGGCUCGCUAGAGUGCGGUAGAGGAGAGUGGAAUUCCCGGUGUAGCAGUGAAAUGCGUAGAGAUCGGGAGGAACAUCAGUUGCGAAAGCGGCUCUCUGGCCCGGUUCUGACGCUGAGGCGCGAAAGCGUGGGGAGCAAACAGG